CAACAGGGAUUGCCCUAGUAACGGCGAGUGAAGCGGCAACAGCUCAAAUUUGAAAUCUGGCUUCGGCCCGAGUUGUAAUUUGUAGAGGAUGCUUUUGGUGCGGUGCCUUCUGAGUUCCCUGGAACGGGACGCCACAGAGGGUGAGAGCCCCGUAUAGUCGGACACCAAGCCUCUGUAAAGCUCCUUCGACGAGUCGAGUAGUUUGGGAAUGCUGCUCAAAAUGGGAGGUAAAUGCCUUCUAAAGCUAAAUACUGGCCAGAGACCGAUAGCGCACAAGUAGAGUGAUCGAAAGAUGAAAAGCACUUUGAAAAGAGGGUUAAACAGCACGUGAAAUUGUUGAAAGGGAAGCGCUUGUGACCAGACUUGCGCCAGGUGGAUCAUCCAGCGUUCUCGCUGGUGCACUCUGCCUGGUUCAGGCCAGCAUCGGUUUUCUCAGUGGGAUAAAGGCUCUGGGAAUGUAGCUCCUCCGGGAGUGUUAUAGCCCGUUGCACAAUACCUCUGAGGGGACCGAGGUUCGCGCUCUGCAAGGAUGCUGGCGUAAUGGUCAUCAGCGGCCCGUCUUGAAACACGGACCAAGGAGUCAAGCAUUAGGGCGAGUGUUUGGGUGCAAAACCCGCACGCGUAAUGAAAGUGAACGUAGGUGAGAGCUUCGGCGCAUCAUCGACCGAUCCUGAUGUAUUCGGAUGGAUUUGAGUAAGAGCCUUACCGCUUGGACCCGAAAGAUGGUGAACUAUGCUUGUAUAGGGUGAAGCCAGAGGAAACUCUGGUGGAGGCUCGCAGCGGUUCUGACGUGCAAAUCGAUCGUCAAAUAUGAGCAUGGGGGCGAAAGACUAAUCGA
rnacentral:rRNA from 1 species